rnacentral:sRNA from 1 species
AACAUAUCGGUAGGUAAGGCUCCCACAGGGAUACGGGCUGCUGCCGCGAAACGGUGGAGACACCGUCAGCAGGUCAACAGGGCACAUCGAAACCAAGGUGUGCUCUAACGCAGUUUCAUUGCCCUUUGAAGCUAAAGCUUGAACGAAAUU